GAUGCUCCGUGGGAAAUACAUUUGAUCAAUUGAAGAUCUACUGAACCUUUGUUAAUUCGAUUGAAAUUUGGGUAUUGUGGCUCGAGCCACGAUUAAGAUCGAUUUGAUAUUCGUUAGCCUAAGAAAGGACUGGCUGUCUUACUACGUUAAGAUUUUUAGUAUUUGAAUUAAAACUCUGUGACAUUUGCAAUUGAGAUGCUAUGCUCUCUACUAGGGGGAAAACGUCCGGCAGAGAAAAAAACCCGGAGAACUAUUCCCCGAUGUGCGCGUCUAAGAAGUUUGGUAAAAUGAUUCCGUGAGACGUACGUGCGCAAUAUUGAAGGCUAACCGGCAUGAAUAACUCACGUCUUCUUUUUGAACCUUGAAAGACGUCUUAAAAGCUUCGCUUUGUGGACGAGACUUAACAAAGCCGAAGCAGCUGUUCAUUUUUUACUUACUCGACGGAGAUGUCACCAUCAAUAAUGCCUUUGAGUGACUUUUCUGGUUGCAUCUGAUGCGUGACAGAGACUAUUGUUGUUAUUUUAAAUUAUGUUAAUCCUGAUGCUGUAUUUUUUAUUACCACGAAAAGUUUUAUAAUGAGAUUAACGUUAUUUCCCUUUGAAGUCAUGAAUAGAAAUGUUCACUAUUGCAAUACUAGUUGUGACGUGAAUAAAGGGGUAAGUAAGGGUAAGUAAAGAAACUGUGAUGCUGCGUCGGUGGGAGAGUAUAGCUGAUAAUUAGUGUUAACAACUGAGUUGAAAAUGUAAAUUGGCCACCGUGAAGGGUAAAAAAGCUGACGUGUGACGUGAACUUGUCUUUCGACGAAUUUCGAAAACCCGCGCAAAUUCCUCAAUGUGUCGAAGAAACUGAAGUCAUUGCUAAGUUGAAGGCGUGGAACUAUAUCUUUUUAAGGCUAACUACAUUGUAAAUCUUCGUCAUCACGUCAGAAUGUAAAUACUAGUGGGAGCUGGGAGAGAGCUUGCCUCUCACCUCUGUGGCCUCGGUUCGAUUCCCGAACUUGAGGACGUUUCUCGAAGGUUCCCGUAGAGCUAUUCUGUUUUCCUUGAAGAUGAUAAUAAAACUAUAAGCUAAAGAAAGGAAAUGGACUGAUUAGGGUGCCAGAACCUGCCUUUCUAAUCUUUGAAUUUUGAUUUCAAAAUAUGGCUUCGGGCCUGAUAAGCUACCGUGACUUUUGAGAAACGGGCCACUGGCGUCACCUGUGGGGUUUGUUGUUGGUUCUCUUUCUCGAUUCUCGCUCCGAGGGUCUCUCCCCAGGUCCUCUGGUUUUCCUCCCUCCAUAAUCAGAACCAAUAUUCCAAAUUUAAAAUCGACCUGGAGACAGUGGACAGUGCUAAAUUUCAAUGAUUAUCAUUAUAAUUAUUAUUGUUACAAGAGAGAACCUAUUAUUUCGGCAUGAAAGUUGAAUUUACUAUCAUUAUUUAUAUUAUCAUAAUUAUCAGAUUAUCAUGGUUAUAAUUAUUACGAUUAUCUUUAU